rnacentral:misc_RNA from 1 species
AACGCACGAGACCUGCGGACCUGCGGAGGGAUCAUUACAUGGCGGAGAAGGUGGGCAACCUGGCCAACAUCCAGGUUGUGAUGCCUUCACGCUCUUCCACCCUUGUCUAUUUGCACCUUCUGUCGUUCCCUCGGCGGGUUUCGACCCGCCGGCGGCAACAUUGAAAAACCCUUUUUGCAGUUAGCAUUCAAUUCUUCUGAUCAAAUAUUAAAUCAUUACAACUUUUAACAAUGGAUCUCU